UACGUAGGUGGCGAGCGUUGUCCGGAUUUACUGGGCGUAAAGGGCGUGCAGGCGGUUUGUUAAGUGCAGGGUGAAAGCUCCCGGCUCAACUGGGAGAGGUCCUUGCAUACUGGCGAACUCGAGGGAGGCAGAGGAAAGUGGAAUUCCCGGUGUAGUGGUGAUAUGCGUAGAUAUCGGGAGGAACACCUGUGGCGAAGGCGGCUUUCUGGGCCUUACCUGACGCUGAGGAGCGAAAGCGUGGGGAGCAAACAGG
rnacentral:rRNA from 1 species